rnacentral:rRNA from 1 species
AAAGCCUGACGGAGCAACGCCGCGUGAGUGAUGAAGGGUUUCGGCUCGUAAAACUCUGUUAUUAGGGAAGAACAAAUGUGUAAGUAACUGUGCACAUCUUGACGGUACCUAAUCAGAAAGCCACGGCUAACUACGUGCCAGCAGCCGCGGUAAUACGUAGGUGGCAAGCGUUAUCCGGAAUUAUUGGGCGUAAAGCGCGCGUAGGCGGUUUCUUAAGUCUGAUGUGAAAGCCCACGGCUCAACCGUGGAGGGUCAUUGGAAACUGGGAAACUUGAGUGCAGAAGAGGAAAGUGGAAUUCCAUGUGUAGCGGUGAAAUGCGCAGAGAUAUGGAGGAACACCAGUGGCGAAGGCGACUUUCUGGUCUGUAACUGACGCUGAUGUGCGAAAGCGUGGGGAUCAAACAGGAUUAGAUACCCUGGUAGUCCACGCCGUAAACGAUGAGUGCUAAG